rnacentral:piRNA from 1 species
UAACAUGCUAUUAAGUGGCCAUUUGGAGCCA